AUUGUCAAAAAAUUAGAACAUUAUCAUAAAUGCUCAAGUAUUAUUUCAGUGUUUUCAGAAAACAAAAAAAUUAGAAAGAAAGAAGAAAAGAUUUUUGCUUUGAGGCUUUGUUCCCUUCGGGCAAACCCCUGCCCCUGGUUGAUUAUCUGCUGUCUUAGAGAUCAAAAAGGAUCAGCUUUGUUUUAGACUUUUUAAUAACAAUCUCAGCAUGUGACGCUUAUCGGUAUGGGGUCCAAACUGAUAGCAUAAUGACUACAGAGAUAAUAAAACCCUUCCUUUUAGUUUCUUCCUGUUGAUGGCAGAUUGCUUGCCUUGUACACACACUGUAAAGCUACACUAGCUAUGACAAAAUGAGAAGAUAAUUAGACACCAAGUGUUUUUGGAGAUCCACCCCUUCCCGUUUAUCUAAAUGGAAAAGUCUGUUAUUCUCUGGAGCUAAGAUAUAAUUUACCUACUGCACGGCCUCAGCUCAUUGUGUCUCAGCGAGCCGAAUGUCAAAAUGUAGGCUUACGUUUUCAGGCGACAGCUUGUUUCUGUGUCAGACUUGGAUCAGAUCAUGACAAACAAGGAAAACAUUUGUAACACAAUGAAAAGCAUCUCAUAUCAACUGUAAAGCAUGGUGGCGAUAGAAUCAUGGUUUCGAUUUGCUCUGCAAUAAAGAACACCUAUGUACUCGGUGCGGGCCAUGGAUUGUGGAUUGUGUUCUUCUAUGUCGACUUCAGCAAAUUAACAUGUAUUAGUCCGUCAACAACUGAGUUUAGUUCCCAUUUUAUCAGAAAUUAAUAAGAACAAUGCCCGCUGGAGACAUUUUCAAACAGGGUCCCACCAAAUCCUUAAUCCAUGAUCACAGUCUUUCAUUCUGAAGAUGUAAUGCAGAUGCCUUAAGAACUAUGUCACCCAGAUGAAAUGAGCCUUUAAGUCUGUGUCACAGCUAAGCUGGUAACCCCUGUGAACAAUAGCCUAUGAUGUUGGUGGCCCUCAGGAUAACCAUUGUUGAAACCAACUUCACCUGGGUUUGUGUGAUGACAUCUGACUGAUGGGGUGAGAUGUUCUCCCAAAGGGAAAUACCAAUGUAACACCGUCCAUGUUUUGAGCUUUCAGUCAGGCAGGCGCCUGUGGUAAUGACAGUGACACCGGCAGAGAGGAUACUGUUGUGCAUAAGCAUGAAGAGUCUUCCAGAUCUGUUUACAAAGUGUAACAAAAGAAUUGUGUCUUCUUCUGAUAGCCUUCUUCUGGUCUUCCCAUAAGAAGGAUAUCAAACCUUCAACUGCUGCAAAAUUCAGCAGCACACUUGCUGACCACGGGACAAAACACAUUACACCCAUUUUAAAAUUGCUACAUUGGCUCCCCGUGCAAUUCAGGACUGAUUUUAAAGUUCUUUUAUUGGAUUAUUAAUCUUUGUGUGGUCUUGGGUAUUCAUAUUUAUCUGACAUGACCUUUAGUAUGAGCCCUCGCUGACCUUUGAGGUCCUCUGGGACAGGCCUUUUGGUUAGUCCAAAAGUCAGAACUAAAACAUACGGUAAGGUCUCAUUCAGGUUUUAUUGGACCUUGCCUAUGAAACCGCCUCCCGGAGAGCCUCAGGGCCGCAGAGACCAUUCAUGUUUUUAAAAGAAGGCUCAAGAUCUGCCUUUUCAAUCUAGCUUUUAGUUGAAAUUUAUUGAUUUACUUGAUAUUUUAAGUAUUUUAUGUUCUCUUUUUUUACUAAUUUGAUUAUUUUUAUUCUCGUUUACCGAUUUAUAUCUCUCUAUUAAGGCUUAUUUAUUUACUUAUCUGGUUAUGUAUAUCUUUUUUAACUUUCAUUUUUUAUUCCUUUUACAUUUUAGUUGUAUCUCCAGUGUUUUCCUCAGGGGGAUCCUCCAAAUCCGUGACUGACCCUUCUAAGUCAACUGGGUCACGGGCUCUUUUCUUAGAUCUGGGGGAUACUGUGAUAGCAUAUUCUGUGAACUUGAGUGGGGGGAGGCACUUUUGUGGCCAGGUCCCCAAAAAUAUAAUUUCCCAAUUUCAGUACAAAGCCCGAUUUCUACAUCUUCCAUACCUGUGGAUCUCGUCUCUGCUCCAGCUCCCACACUUGGUUGUGGACCGUGCCUCGCGGCCCCAAGCCGUCCCACAACUCCAUCUGGAUGAAUCUGCUGGACUAUUCAAACAUGUGGUUGUAGAAUUAAAAUAAGGUAAUUCUUCUUUAAAAGUUCUUGUACAUCGCCUGUCCAUCCUUGGAGAGGAUCCCUCCUUCCAUCCCUGAAGUUUCUUCUUUUUUUUCUGGAAUCUGUUGUUUCAGGAGAAUUUCUUACAGAGAAGGAUGCCCAGUUUAGCAUAGUCUGUUUAGUUUAGAUUAACCAUUACCUAUUGAACUCUAUAACUUCAUGUUCAUUAUGAUUUUUUGUUCAUUAUACAAUUAUUGGUAUGAAGCCCAUUGAGACGACUAUUGUUGUAAUAUUGGGCUAUCUAAAAAAAUUGACUUGAACGUAGAACAUGAACCGUGCAUCAUUAUUGUGCUGUUUAAAAUGCAAUUCAUUGGUGAUUCGUAAGUGAUAUGUAAUCUGAUACGUGUGCCGUAUACGUAAUAUGACAGUCAUACAUCAAUGGUACAUGAGUGAAAAGUCUGUUAGACAUACGUGGAAUGGUUGUGGAAAGCCACAAAUUUGAUUGCAUAUGAACAACAUUAUACAUGUGUAUGUCAUGGUGCCUCUGUCAGAUAUCCUCCCCCUCCCUCUUUGCUUGGCUCCUGACUCAACACAGCUGCGUCCACUCACCUCAUCACCCGCCUGCCUUCAAAAGGACAUCCAGGACCAGUAUUCAUCACCAGUUCGUUGCUCCUCUAUGGAUUCCAUCACCAGGAGUGGUCGCACAAGUCAUCUUCGUUCCAGAUCCAAGCCUCAGAACACUUCCUGUUUCGCCACGAGCCUCUGCCAUCUCAAGGUUGUUUCCACCGGUGACGCCAUGGGCCGCAGAAAUUAUCCAUCAUCGUCGUGGGUUCCCCUCAGAUGUUACAGCUCCGCCCACCAUCUACAAAACCAAGAACCGAAAAUUAAAAUACUUUACUUAC